GCUUCUUUAGCUCAGUUGGUUAGAGCGUGGUGCUAAUAACGCCAAGGUCACAGGUUCGACCCCUGUAAGGAGCA